UAUGUCUUCGGAUAUAGAGACCGGCGCACGGGUGCGUAACGCGUAUGCAAUCUACCUUUUACAGAGGAAUAGCCCAGAGAAAUUUGGAUUAAUGCCCCAUAGUAUAAUUGAAUGGCAUCAUUUAAUUAUUAAAGUCACAACGGUAAAAGAUGAGCAUGCGUCCCAUUAGUUAGUUGGUAAGGUAACGGCUUACCAAGACAAUGAUGGGUAGGGGUCCUGAGAGGGAGAUCCCCCACACUGGUACUGAGACACAGACCAGACUCCUACGGGAGGCAGCAGUGAGGAAUAUUGGACAAUGGGCGCAAGCCUGAUCCAGCCAUGCCGCGUGCAGGAAGACGGUCCUAUGGAUUGUAAACUGCUUUUAUACAGGAAGAAACACUCCGACGUGUCGGAGCUUGACGGUACUGUAGGAAUAGGGAUCGGCUAACUCCGUGCCAGCAGCCGCGGUAAUACGGAGGAUCCAAGCGUUAUCCGGAAUCAUUGGGUUUAAAGGGUCCGUAGGCGGUUUAAUAAGUCAGUGGUGAAAUCUGGUCGCUCAACGAUCAAACGGCCAUUGAUACUGUUAGACUUGAAUUAUAAGGAAGUAACUAGAAUAUGUAGUGUAGCGGUGAAAUGCUUAGAUAUUACAUGGAAUACCAAUUGCGAAGGCAGGUUACUACUUAUGGAUUGACGCUGAUGGACGAAAGCGUGGGGAGCGAACAGGAUUAGAUACCCUGGUAGUCCACGCCGUAAACGAUGGAUACUAGCUGUUGGAAGCAAUUUCAGUG
rnacentral:rRNA from 1 species